rnacentral:lncRNA from 1 species
GAGCACCUUUGCUUAGGCUCAUGUCUAAAAAUAUAAAUUCUCCUUAGACUGUGGAAGAGCCAGGUACCUUUACCAAACAAGGGAUGUGCCUCUGAAGUUACACACAUCUGAACAAGGUGAUCCAAUAAAUGUGUUAUGGAGCAGAAUUAGGAAAAUGACUGCAGUAGGAACCCAGAUGGAUAAAUGACAAGCAAGGACUUUGAGUGCAAAGACAUGAGGAGUGCUGACUCCCGGGAUGGAGAGGAAGGACCAUUCCUGUGCCUGCUGGAUUUGUCCUGCCCUGCACACCUGAACUGAGAUGUUAAACCAUUCUCAUCGCUGCUGCUUGGCACAUCCCGCUGCUGAAUCCACAUGGAUUGUUUCAUUUCUCCUUGCUGUCCAUCAGCAAAAGUUUAUCCCGCAUCAAGCCAGGAGAAUAGAUGUGCUGAAAUAGCAGCUUAAAAGCCUCUUUUGAAUACAGGUCAGGCAGACUGUGAGAGGAAAACCCCUUUUCACAGCAGCUCUGACCUGUGAGGACACUUUCUU